GAUGAAGAACGUAGCGAAAUGCGAUAAGUAAUGCGAAUUGCAGAAUUUCCGUGAAUCAUCGAAUCUUUGAACGCACAUUGCGCCCUUUGGUAUUCCUUAGGGCAUGCCUGUUCGAGCGUCAUUUAAACCUUCAAGCUAAGCUUGGUGUUGGGUGACUGUCCGCUUCACGGCGGACUCGCCUCAAAAUUAUUGGCGGCCGGUACAUUGGCUUCGAGCGCAGCAGAAACGCGAACUCGGGCCCGUCGUAUUGGCUCCCAGAAGCUAUCUUCACAAUUUUGACCUCGGAUCAGGUAGGGAUACCCGCUGAACUUAAGCAUAUCAAUAAGCGGAGGA
rnacentral:misc_RNA from 1 species